GGCUUCGUGGUGUAGUGGUCAGUACACUCGACGCGUAUUCGAGAGGUCCGUGGUUCGAGUCCCGGCGAGGGCA
rnacentral:tRNA from 1 species